UAACGACUGCCACCGGGCAGUAAUUGUCAGUACUUUUUGCAAUUCCGUUAGGUCUUAGAAGGAAUUGUGGGGAGUGCUAUUUUUUU
rnacentral:ncRNA from 1 species